GGGAUGGUGGCUCAGUGGUAGAGCACUCACCUAAUACCGGAGGGGCCUGAGUUGGAUUCUCAGCCCCA
rnacentral:tRNA from 1 species